rnacentral:tRNA from 1 species
GGGCCAUUAGCUCAGUGGUUAGAGCGCACCCCUGAUAAGGUGAGGUCCUGGUUCAAGUCCAGGAUGGCCCA